CCUUGAGACCUUUCCCGACGAAUCGGAUGUGGUUUCAGAUCAACAGAGAGGUGCAAUGGCAACAGAGGAAAUGGAACACAAUGACAGUGGGCCAGUUUUUGACCAGACCCCAACUCCUCAUGAUGAUACACUCAAAGGUACUACAAACUCUGGAUCUGAUCCACCCCUUACAUAGCAAGAG